GGUUUAAUUGGAUUCAACACCGGAAAACUCACCAAGGGCGACUGUUACAUGAAAGCCAGGCUAAUGACCUUGCUAGAUUUUCAGAGAGGUGGUGCAUGGCCGUCGUCAGUUCGUACCGUAAGGCGUUCUCUUAAGUGAGAUAACGAACGAGACCCUCACUGAUAAUUGCUACUUCAUUCUCCGGAGUGGAGGCACAUUAUUGGGACCGCUGGCGCUAAGUCAGAGGAAGGAGAGGUCAACGGUAGGUCAGUAUGCCCCGAAUCUCUUGGGCUACACGCGCGCUACAAAGGGCGGGACAAUGGGCUCCGACGCCGAGAGGCGAAGGUAAUCUCGAAACCCGUCCAUAGUUCGGAUUGAGGGUUGUAACUCACCCUCAUGAAGCUGGAUUCCGUAGUAAUCGCGAAUCAACAACUCGCGGUGAAUAUGCCCCUGCUCCUUGCACACACCGCCCGUCAAACCAUCCGAGUUGGGUUUCAGUGAGGUUGCCUCUGAUUAGGGUAUUCGAACUGAGAUUUAGCAAGGAAGGUUAAGUCGUAACAAGGUAUCUGUA
rnacentral:rRNA from 1 species